GUACAGCACAAAAUUUUUGUUCUUCCGAAAUUGAAAGAGCAAGCUCCCGUAGUAGAUCAUGCAUCUUGCAUGCUUUUGGAAGUCCAUAUGAGUUCCUCUCUACAGCUUGAAGCAUACUUCGGCGAAUGAGUUCCAUCUCAGCAACCUCUUCUGGUGUUAUCCCUCUGACCUGUUCUACAAACCCCUCUGCCAUCCAUAAUCUGAUGAGUCUCUUUCGCUUAAUUGAAUAAUCCUCAGGAAAUAAGCAGCAAUAGAGGAAACAAUGCUUAAGUCGGUAUGGCAAAUCAUUGUAGCUCAGCAACAAGAUGCUUUUCACUGGUUGAAGUAUUUGGUUAUUGUGCAACUCCCAAUUCAAGCUAUUGCCAACCAUCCUCCAUUCUGAUGAGCUUUUGGCAGACAAGAGACCACCCAAUGACACAAUUGCGAGAGGUAGUCCUUGGCAUUUUUCCACUAUGUCCUUGGCUAAAAUUUCAAGCUCCAAGGGGCACUUGUUGCCAUUCCUUGAGAAAGCUUUCAUGCAAAAAAGGGCCCAUGCUUCAAUUUCUGAUAGUGGACGAAUAUGAUGAACAUGGCUUCCAAUUUCAAAAGAAAGAGAAGCUACGCUUUCAUUCCUUGUUGUAAGCAUGACUCGAC
rnacentral:misc_RNA from 1 species